AAGUCGUAACAAGGUCUCCGUUGGUGAACCAGCGGAGGGAUCAUUGCUGGAACGCGCCCCGGGCGCACCCAGAAACCCUUUGUGAACUUAUACCUUACUGUUGCCUCGGCGCAGGCCGGCCCCCUUGGGGGCCCCCCGGAGACGGGGAGCAGCCCGCCGGCGGCCAAGCUAACUCUUGUUUUUACACUGAAACUCUGAGAAAUAAACAUAAAUGAAUCAAAACUUUCAACAACGGAUCUCUUGGUUCUG
rnacentral:misc_RNA from 1 species